CAAGGCGUAGCUAUAAUACAAAGCGUUCAGCUUACACCUGAAAGAUAUCCACCACCUGCCGGAUCGCCUUGA
rnacentral:tRNA from 1 species